GAACGGGUGAGUAACACGUGAGCAAUCUGCCCCUGACUCUGGGAUAAGCGCUGGAAACGGCGUCUAAUACUGGAUAUGAGCUGCGACCGCAUGGUCAGUAGUUGGAAAGAUUUUUCGGUUAGGGAUGAGCUCGCGGCCUAUCAGCUUGUUGGUGAGGUAAUGGCUCACCAAGGCGUCGACGGGUAGCCGGCCUGAGAGGGUGACCGGCCACACUGGGACUGAGACACGGCCCAGACUCCUACGGGAGGCAGCAGUGGGGAAUAUUGCACAAUGGGCGGAAGCCUGAUGCAGCAACGCCGCGUGAGGGAUGACGGCCUUCGGGUUGUAAACCUCUUUUAGCAAGGAAGAAGCGAAAGUGACGGUACUUGCAGAAAAAGCGCCGGCUAACUACGUGCCAGCAGCCGCGGUAAUACGUAGGGCGCAAGCGUUAUCCGGAAUUAUUGGGCGUAAAGAGCUCGUAGGCGGUUUGUCGCGUCUGCUGUGAAAUCCCGAGGCUCAACCUCGGGCCUGCAGUGGGUACGGGCAGACUAGAGUGCGGUAGGGGAGAUUGGAAUUCCUGGUGUAGCGGUGGAAUGCGCAGAUAUCAGGAGGAACACCGAUGGCGAAGGCAGAUCUCUGGGCCGUAACUGACGCUGAGGAGCGAAAGGGUGGGGAGCAAACAGGCUUAGAUACCCUGGUAGUCCACCCCGUAAACGUUGGGAACUAGUUGUGGGGACCAUUCCACGGUUUCCGUGACGCAGCUAACGCAUUAAGUUCCCCGCCUGGGGAGUACGGCCGCAAGGCUAAAACUCAAAGGAAUUGACGGGGACCCGCACAAGCGGCGGAGCAUGCGGAUUAAUUCGAUGCAACGCGAAGAACCUUACCAAGGCUUGACAUA
rnacentral:rRNA from 1 species